UUUUUUGACAUUUCAUUUCCUUUUGGUGUCAACUGUCAAUAGACGAAAACACUAUUUUCCAAAAUGGGUCGCGUUAGGACCAAGACUGUCAAGAAAGCAGCGAAAAUUAUUAUUGAGAAAUACUACACCAGAUUAACUCUUGAUUUCCAUACCAA
rnacentral:lncRNA from 1 species